rnacentral:rRNA from 1 species
GAUGAACGCUGGCUACAGGCUUAACACAUGCAAGUCGAGGGGAAACGACGGGGAAGCUUGCUUCCCCGGGCGUCGACCGGCGCACGGGUGAGUAACGCGUAUCCAACCUGCCUCUGACUGAGGGAUAACCCGUCGAAAGUCGGCCUAAUACCUCAUGGUAUCGUCUGCGGGCAUCCAACGACGAUUAAAGAUUUCAUCGGUCAGGGAUGGGGAUGCGUCUGAUUAGCUUGUUGGCGGGGUAACGGCCCACCAAGGCUACGAUCAGUAGGGGUUCUGAGAGGAAGGUCCCCCACAUUGGAACUGAGACACGGUCCAAACUCCUACGGGAGGCAGCAGUGAGGAAUAUUGGUCAAUGGGCGAGAGCCUGAACCAGCCAAGUAGCGUGCAAGAAGACGGCCCUAUGGGUUGUAAACUGCUUUUAUGCGGGGAUAAAGUGAGGGACGUGUCCCUCAUUGCAGGUACCGCAUGAAUAAGGACCGGCUAAUUCCGUG